rnacentral:rRNA from 1 species
GUGCAGCAGGCGAGAACCUCCGCAAUACACGAAAGUGUGACGGGCCAUCCCGAGUGCCGUCCGCUGAGGACGGCUUUUCCCAGUGUACACAGCUGGGGAAGUAAGGAGAGGGCGAAGCCUGGUGUCAGCCGCCGCGGUAAUACCAGCUCUCCGAGUGGUGGGGACGCUUAUUGGGCCUGAAGCAUCCGUAGCCGGCUGGGCAAGUCCUCCGUUAAAUCCAACGAUUCAAUCGUUGGGCUGCGGGGGAUACUGUCCAGCUUGGGGGCGGGAGAGGCCGACGGUAUUCCCGGGGUAGGGUGGAAAUCCUAUAAUCCCGGGAGGACCACCAGUGGCGAAGGCUGUCGGCUAGAACGCGCCCGACGGUGAGGGAUGAAAGCUGGGGGGAGCGGAACCGGAUUAGGAUACCCCGGCGUA